ACGUUUUAUUUCUCCUCUCCAGGAUUUACGAGAAUCUUCCGGAGGUGCAGCGGAGGAGAGACGAGGAAAGACGGAGAGCAGAGUAUCGAUCUUACCGGCUGAACGCUCAACUCUACAACAAGAGGAUCACGAGCCGAGUCCUGAGCCGGAGAACAGCGUGGCAGUGAUCGAACCAACCAAACUUUGUUCCUGUUCAUUAAAUCAGUGAAGAUAAAACAUUUUUUACAGUUUUAUUGACAUUAAGAACAAAAACCACCUAACUAAAAUGAGCUUUUAUUUAUUUUCUACCACGUUUUUUAAUUAUUUUAAAUAUUAUGUGUAAAAAGUCAAAAUUUCACUUUUUAGAUGGAUAUUUUGUUUUUUGUACUUGCAGAGCACUGAAAUGUUUGAACUGGUAAAAAAUAAACCGGAUUCUUUAUAAAUUUUGCUAAAUUCAGUUUUGAUUGAAGACAGCGAAGACGAAGCAGCUUUAAUGUCUUUAUUGAUCAGUUGUGCGCGAGCAGGAAGCCACACGAGUAAAGAUAGACGAGUUAGACGAGCUGCAGAUUCAGAGCCGCAGCUGCACACAAAAACAACAUCAUGAAUAAAUAACACGUCUCCUCCUAAAACCACAGCUACGUCGAUGCACUACGCCCAUUCAUUAAAUUCAUCAUAAAAUAAAACUUCAAGUCAUGACCAUACUGUAAACAUAAAUACUCUAGCAAAUCACUGAAUGAAAUCAUUAGCACGGAUUAAUGAACUAAAAGCCUUUUGAAUGAAAUCAGCGGCAAACGUGGUGACGAGGAACAAAGAAUCUUUGGCAAAGAUGUUAACGAGGUUUGGUCUAACGAAUCGAAACAUAAGGCAGGCGACCGCUCUUCAACCACGAGGCUCUCUGCAGCUUUAAGGCUCGGACACAGUUUGAAACAGCACAACAAACUUAACACGUUUCAGGAUUUUUGAUACUUUUUCGACAUUUACACCGAGCAUGUAAAAGCUGUACUGGAACUCGCACCACGUGUGAAAUAAAUACUAAAUAAUUAAAUCAUUUAAUGCUUCAUCUGAGUCUUUAAAUAAACAUUAAAAAUAAGAAAUCCCUCGAGGUUAAUCACCUUCUCGUCUGUGCAGUCCGCAAAGUUUUAAU